rnacentral:rRNA from 1 species
AGCAGUAGGGAAUCUUCCGCAAUGGACGAAAGUCUGACGGAGCAACGCCGCGUGAGUGAUGAAGGUUUUCGGAUCGUAAAACUCUGUUGUUAGGGAAGAACAAGUACCAUAGUAACUGCUGGUACCUUGACGGUACCUAACCAGAAAGCCACGGCUAACUACGUGCCAGCACGCGCGGUUAUACGUAGGUGGCAAGCGUUGUCCGGAAUUAUUGGGCGUAAAGCGCGCGCAGGCGUUCCUUUAAGUCUGAUGUGAAAGCCCACGGCUCACCCGUGGAGGGUCAUUGGAAACUGGGGGACUUGAGUACAGAAGAGAAGAGUGAAAUUCCACGUGUAGCGGAGAUAUGCGUAGAGAUGUGGAGGAACACCAGUGGCGAACGCGACUCUUUGGUCUGAUACUGACGCUGAGCG